AUGUUUCCUCUUUGUCUAUCUAGAAUUAUCUGUCAUUACUUUAUUUUAGAAAGAAAUAGUGUCUGGUGGUAUCAACUUUUUUCAGCUGAGCUGGCCAAAAAGAGUAAAACUGAGAGUACAGAAGAGGAAAUAGCCUUCAUCAAUUACAGCAGAACAAGAAAAACUGCAUCUCUCCUUAAACUGAAAGAGUCAAAGUGAACUCUAUGAACUCAGGGACAGCUGUCUUAAAACUGAAAAAACGUAUCUGGUCUAUCCUUUGCUGGAAAUCUGUUCAGAAGACUGCCAAGUGCACAUACUGAAGAGGGGGGAACUGCUGUAACCUCCUCUGUGAUGUUAGGUAAGCAGCGUGACGCCCUGCCAUUGCACUGCCCUUGUCUGCUGGAGGUGUGAAAUAACUGUCUGAGCAGAAGAAUGGAAAUUAACAGAUGAUAAAUAUAUUUUGACACAGAUGAUUUGUGUUAUUCAGAGGAGGAAAAUUGUAGGCAUUCAGGAAAUACAGUGAAGCAGUCAAAACUCAGAAGUUUGUGAAGCAUAUUUAGAUGUCAGUAUCUCUGACAAGUCUCAAUAGCUCACACUUGCUGAAAAUUAAAAAGGGGAGGUUUGUUGGACACAUUUGGGUCAGGACUCAGAGUUAACUAGAUUUAAUUAGUCUUUUCUAGCUUGGUAGUGCAGACAGCAGUAGCUGUACCGAUAGUAAAAUGCUGUGGAUUGACACAAACUGUACAGAUAGAGUCCAACCAAGAUAAUCUCACUUCAUCUUUUCAUGCAUGUGUUGGUGUGCCCUCAGGUGUAAAGUUCAUUCUUUGGGUUACCAGAUUGUUCCUACAAAUGACUCUUCUUUCAUUAUUAACUUAAUUGAAUAACCAAGAUGUUUUGAGGAAUAUGUAGACCUCUAAAUUAUAAAAAUCUUUUUGCCAGGUGAAACGUACAGCAGUUACAUUUCAGAGAAUGCCAUUGAACUUUAUCAGGCCACAUAUUCAUUCCAGGCCAAAAUCUAUGAAAACUGUGAAAACUUACGGGUUCCUUUGGAGAAAAGAUUAUUCAGAGUGGUACAGACCUUCACUGGCAAAACAACAAAAAUAAAUUUUGAUAAUAUUGCUAUUAAAGAUAUAUU
rnacentral:lncRNA from 1 species